rnacentral:misc_RNA from 1 species
GAAAUGCGAUAAGUAAUGUGAAUUGCAGAAUUCAGUGAAUCAUCGAAUCUUUGAACGCACAUUGCGCCCUGUGGCAUUCCGCAGGGCAUGCCUGUUUGAGUAUCUGAGAGUGAUUGAUCUGGCCUUAUGGUUGGGAACUGGCCGAUCCACGGGGCGAUCCCGCGGUCGGUUUAAACGUAUGAAUAGGUCUGGGAGGGGGGAUGACCAAGCGUGUGAAGACGUCCCUAUGGACCCGAAGCCGCCGAGUCCCCUCCCACCCGCUACUGACCUCUCCCUCGCAAUAACCACGGGACUAAACUCCCUGCACACCGAUCUCAAAUCAGGUAGGAGUACCCGCUGAACUUAA